CGCCAGACUCCUACGGGAGGCAGCAGUGAGGAAUAUUGGUCAAUGGGCUUACGCCUGAACCAGCCAAGUCGCGUGAGGGAAGACUGCCCUAUGGGUUGUAAACCUCUUUUGUCAGGGAGCAACGCCGGCUACGUGUAGCCGGACUGAGAGUACCUGAAGAAAAAGCAUCGGCUAACUCCGUGCCAGCAGCCGCGGUAAUACGGAGGGUGCAAGCGUUAUCCGGAUUUAUUGGGUUUAAAGGGUGCGCAGGCGGAGGUGCAAGUCAGUGGUCAAAUUGCGGGGCUCAACCCCGUACUGCCGUUGAAACCGGAGCGCUAGAAUUCCGAUGCCGUCGGAGGAAUGUGUGGUGUAGCGGUGAAAUGCAUAGAUAUCACGCAGAACCCCGAUUGCGAAGGCAGCAUACCGGUGCACAACUGACGCUCAGGCACGAAAGCGUGGGUAUCGAACAGGAUUAGAUACCCCCGUA
rnacentral:rRNA from 1 species